AUGGCCAUUGACGGAGCUCUGAACCCAACCUUCUAUUGUUUUCUCUUUUUCCAACAACAACAAUCUACAGAGCAAAAAUUAAGGAAAAGAAAAGUUACCGAGUCAGAGUUCCUCCGAUGGUCCUUUAAGACCAGUAUUACGCAGGUUUUGGACAACAAUAUGUACAUGUUAUGCAGGGUUGGAUUUUGGACGUUUAUGACAGGAGUAGCAGCUGGUUUGAGCAGCAUAGCAGGGAAUACUCUUGGGCCAAUGAUUUUACUCUAG